rnacentral:rRNA from 1 species
AUUGAACGCUGGCGGCAUGCUUUACACAUGCAAGUCGAACGGCAGCGCGGGCUUCGGCCUGGCGGCGAGUGGCGAACGGGUGAGUAAUGCAUCGGAACGUGCCCAGUAGUGGGGGAUAGCCCGGCGAAAGCCGGAUUAAUACCGCAUACGACCUGAGGGUGAAAGCGGGGGACCGAAAGGCCUCGCGCUAUUGGAGCGGCCGAUGUCGGAUUAGCUAGUUGGUGGGGUAAAGGCUUACCAAGGCGACGAUCCGUAGCUGGUCUGAGAGGACGACCAGCCACACUGGGACUGAGACACGGCCCAGACUCCUACGGGAGGCAGCAGUGGGGAAUUUUGGACAGUGGGGGCAACCCUGAUCCAGCCAUGCCGCGUGCGGGAAGAAGGCCUUCGGGUUGUAAACCGCUUUUGUUCGGGAAGAAAUCCUCUGGGCUAAUACCCCGGGGGGAGGACGGUACCGGAAGAAUAAGCACCGGCUAACUACGU